rnacentral:rRNA from 1 species
AACGCGAAGAACCUUACCCAGGCUUGACAUGCAGUAGACCGGUCCAGAGAUGGACCUUUCCUUCGGGACUGCUGCACAGGUGCUGCAUGGCUGUCGUCAGCUCGUGUCGUGAGAUGUUGGGUUAAGUCCCGCAACGAGCGCAACCCUUGUCCUGUGUUGGCAUGCCGAAAGGCGCAACUCUCAGGAGACCGCCAGCGAUAAGUUGGAGGAAGGUGGGGAUGACGUCAAGUCAUCAUGGCCUUUAUGUCCAGGGCUACACACGUGCUACAAUGGGCGGUACAAAGCGCUGCAAACCCGCGAGGGGGAGCUAAUCGCAAAAAACCGUUCUCAGUUCGGAUUGCAGGCUGCAACUCGCCUGCAUGAAGCUGGAAUCGCUAGUAAUGGCAUAUCAGAACGAUGCCGUGAAUACGUUCCCGGGUCUUGUACACACCG